rnacentral:rRNA from 1 species
UGGGCCUACGGGGCGCAGCAGUAGGGAAUCUUCCACAAUGGACGAAAGUCUGAUGGAGCAACGCCGCGUGAGUGAAGAAGGGUUUCGGCUCGUAAAGCUCUGUUGGUAGGGAAGAAAGAUAGAGGUAGUAACUGGCCUUUAUUUGACGGUAAUUACUUAGAAAGUCACGGCUAACUACGUGCCAGCAGCCUCGGUAAUACGUAUGGGGCAAGCGGUAUCCGGAUUUACUGGGGGUAAAGGGAGCGUAGG